rnacentral:lncRNA from 1 species
UGGAAGUGAGUGUGUCCUCCCCUGAGAUCCUCACCUUAUCAGUAAGAAUCUGUUUUACAUUACCUCUCUUGUGUCCCUAUUAUUUCUUGUCUUGAAUUAUAAUGAUCUAUGUUUCGGUUUCAUCUCCUUCGUGAGAUUGUAAAACCAUUACCUCUGAGCGCCGUCUUUCUAUCAUACGCCCCUAAUCAUAGCACACUGUGCCACUGCUAGGUCAGCACUGUUUCACCAACUGGACAUGCGCUUUCAAAGGACAUAUUGAGAGCCUGGUUCGGAUGUGAGGGGAAGAAGGAGAGAGAUUAGCAAAGAGGAUUCUUAGGUUUUGAAACUAGGAGACCAGAAGACAGAUGGUCAUCACUGACAAGAGGGAGAGAAUUGGGAGUGAUGGUUUAUGGAGUGAAGACAAUGAGUUUCUUUUUGCCUUGGCUGAGUUUGGGAAGACUUUGAUGCUAAGCGGGGAACUGGAUUUCCGACACUGCCUUGGAAGACUGCAGGCAAGGGGACCAGCUCCCAGGCAGACAGAGUUCCUGGUACCCAGCCAGACAGUUUACCUGCAAAUCCAGGUGAAGCCAAGCUAAUCCCUCAACGUCUCCCAGUCUGCUCUCCCUGACUCUUCCGACAGAGACGAUGAGGAUGAAUGGAGAUUGAAGAGCUGGUGAAGAAUGUUCUCAGAUGUGUACAUUUGGACAGGUUUUACAUGACAUGGGAGCCUUCAAAAGGAAUGAAGACAUGAAGAGAAACAAUGGCUUUUAGACCCCAUGCGUGAAUCUGUCUCCAUGAAAGCAAAGUCAUGCACGCGAAUCGCCCAACAUCUCCCCCGCUCAGGUUCCUACUGGGUUUCUGGAUGGCAGAGUGAGGAGCACGCUUUGGAGACAUGGAGCCCACGAGAUACACGCUGAAAUAUUUAAAAAUGAAAUGAUGUGAUGUCUAGGAUUUUCUUCAAAAUAAUAAAGGAGAAGAGCCUUCACUCCUAAGUGGAUGACAAGGACACAGGGUUGGAAAACUUCCCAGAGAAGGUGACGCUGGAUUUGUUUCCAAAGAGAAAAUACGAGUGAAGACGGGUGAGGAAAAGAGCGUCCAAGGCAGAGGGGAAGGUAAGGAGACCCUAAAACUGCCCUCCAAGUGCUUCUUUUCUAAGAGGGAAAUGCAGACUUUAUUGUAAAAAAGAACAUAAGAAAAUGAACAUGGUCAUGUAUGGCCUGGCAUCUUUGUCAGGGAAAAAGGAAGAGAGAGGAGACAGUUCGCUUUAAUUCAAAGUGACCUUCCCAAUUCUUGAAACUAG